GGAGAGGUGCCGGAGCGGUUGAACGGGGCGGUCUCGAAAACCGUUGACCCUUCGCAGGGUCCUAGGGUUCGAAUCCCUACCUCUCCG
rnacentral:tRNA from 1 species